ACUAAGCCCUGGAUGGGGGAGGCAGCAUUAUUUGUAUUACUGAGUCUGCCAAAAAACCCUACAAACAUAAAUUACAAUGAUUUGGAUUUGUAUCUGUGCAUAUUUAAUUGUUUUUCCUAAAGUUAAUUAAGUAUUUUAGGAAAAAGUGUCAGUGUGGCCACCAGUGAGAAUUGGUGGUCACACUCUGAUGCCACCAAAAAAUUUGUUGAG